AUACAAGGGAAAUGGAGCAGAUUUGGCCUCUGGAGAAACUGUUGCAGCCUCACUCAUUCCCUGCACCCCCCUUAGAGUUUGUUGAUGGUUUCUAAAUCACGCUUUGGUUGGUCACAGUCUGCUUCACCGAAGCCCAGUUUAGUGACUGAGGAAGCAGCAGAUGAGCAACAUUGUUGCUAUGUGGCAGAACCUGCAAGAUUACAAUAUGCAGAGGGUGGUGUUUGCUGCCAGACACCAGGGAUGUUCAGGUCUCCAAAGAAGAGGAUGUAGUUCAUUCCAGGGGUAAAGGUUGUGAAGAGGCAUUCACUCACCAACACUGCCCCAGAUUGCCAGAUUGCUGCUGCCCAUUAGACCAUCUUUGACAGGGUCUGGACCAUACACCGCAGUCCAAAGAAGAGGGGCCUGGUGCAGUGUGCAGAUGGAGUCUCAGGCAGCGCAUUACUACUUAGUUAUGCAGCAGACCCUCCUACAGUGGCACAACAAGAGGGUGAAGAGGCAGGAUUGCAUGGUGUUAAAUCAGGGGCUGGACUUGCCUAGCCGCUUGGGUGUGGUGCCUGUCCCUCUCCCUCCUGCUAAUAUGCACCCCUCC